ACGCACGCUGGCGGCGUGCCUCAUACAUGCCAGUUGAGCGCUGAAGGUUGGUACUUGUACCAACUGGAUGAGCAGCGAACGGGUGAGUAACGCGUGGGGAAUCUGCCUUUGAGCGGGGGACAACAUUUGGAAACGAAUGCUAAUACCGCAUAAAAACUUUAAACACAAGUUUUAAGUUUGAAAGAUGCAAUUGCAUCACUCAAAGAUGAUCCCGCGUUGUAUUAGCUAGUUGGUGAGGUAAAGGCUCACCAAGGCGAUGAUACAUAGCCGACCUGAGAGGGUGAUCGGCCACAUUGGGACUGAGACACGGCCCAAACUCCUACGGGAGGCGGCAGUAGGGAAUCUUCGGCAAUGGACGAAAGUCUGACCGAGCAACGCCGCGUGAGUGAAGAAGGUUUUCGGAUCGUAAAACUCGGUUGGUAGAGAAGAACGUUGGUGAGAGUGGAAAGCUCAUCAAGUGACGGUAACUACCCAGAAAGGGACGGCUAACUACGUG
rnacentral:rRNA from 1 species